AGACCGGCAAACGGGUGCGGAACACGUACGCAAUCUGCCCUUAUCACGGGGAUAGCCCAGAGAAAUUUGGAUUAAUACCCGAUAGUAUUAUAAUAAGGCAUCUUGUUGUAAUUAAAGCUAUGGCGGAUAAGGAUGAGCGUGCGCAAGAUUAGCUAGUUGGUGAGGUAACGGCUCACCAAGGCGACGAUCUUUAGCUGAUGUGAGAGCAUGAUCAGCCACACGGGCACUGAGACACGGGCCCGACUCCUACGGGAGGCAGCAGUGAGGAAUAUUGGUCAAUGGACGGAAGUCUGAACCAGCCAUGCCGCGUGAAGGAUGAAGGCGUUCUGCGUUGUAAACUUCUUUAUUUAGGAAGAAACCACCGAUUUCUAUUGGUGUUGACGGUAUUAAAUGAAUAAGCACCGGCUAACUCCGUG
rnacentral:rRNA from 1 species